rnacentral:rRNA from 1 species
UACGGGGGGGAGCAAGCGUUGUUCGGAUUUACUGGGCGUAAAGGGCGCGUAGGCGGCCACCGCAAGUCGGUUGUGAAAUCUCCGGGCUUAACCCGGAAAGGUCAAUCGAUACUGCGGGGCUAGAGUGCAGAAGGGGCAACUGGAAUUCUCGGUGUAGCGGUGAAAAUGCGUAGAUAUCGAGAGGAACACCUGCGGCGAAGGCGGGUUGCUGGGUUGACACUGACGCUGAAGCGCGAAAGCUAGGGGAGCGAACGGG